rnacentral:miRNA from 1 species
UUCUCUCUCUCUCUCUCUCUCUCUCUCUCCCUCUCAGAGUGACCCAAUCGACAUCAAAAUCGAAGCGAUGGCAAAAAGCAAUUGCCGAAUGACCAGAAACACAGAAGAAGGAGGAGGCAGAGAGAGAGAGAGAGAGAGAGAGAGAA